UCUUCAGACGGCUUGCUCUCCGACCCACCGCUGGCCAGCGGGCGGACUGCACAAUUAAAUUUCGCACACAAGCGCGCGCUCCGGUGAUUGGUCGCACCUGUGUCGGCGGGCGGCGGAGCGCCCAAGUGUUUGCUUUACUCCAAGAAAAAACUCCGCCUGUCCGACUGCAGCCACCAUGUUGUAGCCUCUCGCUCAGAAUUGUAAUUGCCCGUUGAAAGAAUUAUUAUUGAACUGUUUAGACACGAGCUAUUUGUUCGGUUAUUAUAUCGCAUUGUAGCCGUAGCGCAUCUGUACCUUGUUAUAUGACAUGGCGAUUUACAUUAUAAUAUAUGUACUUCCGUUCUCAUAAUAUUUGCUAAAUAUUAGUCCAGUAAUUAUUAGGUAUUAUUAAAUACGCACAGAUUACUCUGAAGUUCAGAUAAUAAAAUAUAUUUAUACCUAUGCCGUGAUCGUUGUACCUAAUGUGGACAUACAGCAGGUACUUAUAAUAAUAUUUUACGCAAUUAUUAUUUGAAUAAUUCUGAACAAAUUCUAAUCCAAGGCACUGGAUACUAGUAUUGAAAAUUGUGUAUUCGCUUCCAAUCCUAAAUAUACUAAAUGUUAAUAAGAUACAUUAAAUAAUAACAUACCCGGUUUACUAUUCAUAAUGUUACUAAUUAUGAUAACGAUAAGGUCGAUAAAAAUAAUGCGAAAACAGGUAUAAAAUACAAAGCAGCAUUCUGCUCAGGAGUUACUCGGACACUGUUCAAGGCUCUAUUAAACUACUCAACUGAGAUAAUAGAUUAUUCCUCAGUAGGUAAUGUAGAAUUAGAACAAGGUAAUGUUAAGCGGGAUCCAGGCUAUGUCAUCAACACCGACUUGGCUCCAGUCUCGUUAGAACACAUAUAUAUUAUUAUAAAUCUUGCUUAUAUUAUAACGUGUGUAUGUAGAGUUAAAAAAUACAAGUUAUUCAAUAAUUCGUUAUCCGUUUAUAUUAGCUGUAGCAAAGACACUCAUUACAACUUCGUGCAUUCCGAAAUUAAGCAUUUGAUAGCGACAUAGAGUAGCAAAGUAGAAAAUACAAUAUAGAAUUAAAAAUGAAAUCGGCUGAAUUAGCCAGAGACGUGAGUCAUGAAGUUAUCGACAAGGUAUGGCAAUACCACUUAAAUGAUUGACAGUUAAUUUACAAAGCGACUCUCGAUAAAAGAGGUAUUAAUAAUUUUAAAAUUAAUUUGGUCCUAAAAUUACUGCUCGCUGCGAAGGAGUACUGUUGAAUCUGUUUUUUAAAUACUUUAAUCGACUCUACAUUUUUGGUUUAUGAACCUUUCGUGUGAUUGACCCACGCUCGUAAUAAUUACCGUCGUAUGCACGGCCGAAAUGAAAUGGCGCGAGGAAGCGGCGAGCGUUCCUUUGUAUGUGUGUGUAAGCAUUUUAAAUUUCGCGCCAUAACAUAGACCGGUGAUACAGGAUGUUUAUUUUUGAUUGUUGAAAAAUCUUUAAUGCUGGAUUAGAAAUAAAAAACGUGUACAAAAU